CGUAGGUGGCAAGCGUUGUCCGGAUUUACUGGGCGUAAAGGAUGCGUAGGUGGAUAUUUAAGUGGGAUGUGAAAUACCCGGGCUCAACUCGGGUGCUGCAUUCCAAACUGGAUAUCUAGAGUGCAGGAGAGGUAAGUGGAAUUCCUAGUGUAGCGGUGAAAUGCGUAGAGAUUAGGAAGAACACCAGUGGCGAAGGCGACUUACUGGACUGUAACUGACACUGAGGCAUGAAAGCGUGGGGAGCAAACAGGAUUAGAUACCCUGGUAGUCCACGCCGUAAACGAUGGGUACUAGGUGUGGGAGGUAUCGACCCCUUCCGUGCCGCCGUUAACACAAUAAGUACCCCGCCUGGGGAGUACGGUCGCAAGAUUA
rnacentral:rRNA from 1 species